rnacentral:rRNA from 1 species
UACGUAGGUGGCAAGCGUUGUCCGGAUUUAUUGGGCGUAAAGCGAGCGCAGGCGGAAAGAUAAGUCUGAUGUGAAAGCCCCCGGCUUAACCGAGGAAUUGCAUCGGAAACUGUGGAGCUUGAGUGCGGGAGGGGCAGGCGGAAUUCCUAGUGUAGCGGUGAAAUGCGUAGAUAUUAGGAGGAACACCGGCGGCGAAGGCGGCCUGCUGGACAGCAACUGACGCUGAGGCACGAAAGUGCGGGUAUCGAACAGG